rfam:Coccidioides immitis RMSCC 2394 supercont1.3 genomic scaffold, whole genome shotgun sequence.
CUUCCUCGACCUGCUGUGGGCAUAUAAAAUGGACGUGUGUGUCAAUUCCUCCUGCAGUGACAAUUUUUCCUUCACAUGCGAUAACAUCUGUCGAAGAGCCAACUAUCAUAUUGGGGGUGACACCAUCCAUCACGUCUGGGUUUCCAGCUUUGCCGAUUCCGCAGAUCAUUCCAUCUUUUAGUCCAAUAUCAGCCUUGUAAAUACCCGUCCAAUCGACAAUUAGCGCGUUCACCAGGACUGUAUCCAGGACAUCCACGGAAUGCCUUCCUGUAGCUUGCCCCAUCCCGUCUCUUAUG